AUUGAACGCUGGCGGCAUGCCUUACACAUGCAAGUCGAACGGUAACAGGUCUUCGGAUGCUGACGAGUGGCGAACGGGUGAGUAAUACAUCGGAACGUGCCCGAGAGUGGGGGAUAACGAGGCGAAAGCUUUGCUAAUACCGCAUACGAUCUCAGGAUGAAAGCAGGGGACCGCAAGGCCUUGCGCUCACGGAGCGGCCGAUGGCAGAUCAGGUAGUUGGGGGGAUAAAAGCUUACCAAGCCGACGAUCUGUAGCUGGUCUGAGAGGACGACCAGCCACACUGGGACUGAGACACGGCCCAGACUCCUACGGGAGGCAGCAGUGGGGAAUUUUGGACAAUGGGCGCAAGCCUGAUCCAGCCAUGCCGCGUGCAGGAUGAAGGCCUUCGGGUUGUAAACUGCUUUUGUACGGAACGAAAAGACUCCUUCUAAUAAAGGGGGUCCAUGACGGUACCGUAAGAAUAAGCACCGGCUAACUACGUGCCAGCAGCCGCGGUAAAAC
rnacentral:rRNA from 1 species